UAUGCUUUAAGUCUUGGUAAAGUCCCAAACAGGUAACAGUCAGACUGCAUCUCAGCACUGUCAAGAUGGAUCUGCAUAAUAGGUGAUGAAUAGUUUUUUUUGGGGGGAUAUAUUAACUUUUACUAUUGGGGGAAAGUUUUAGAUUGGCUUGUCAGUUUGUAACCUAUCAAGUUGAGGCCAAUAUAUAUACAUUCACAACCCUGCACCCAUCAAAUUAUCGACUUUAUGUGUGACUUUGGGACUGAUUCAUACAACCACAUUUCUUUUGGGACUGAUUCAUACAACCACAUUUCCUUUCUCUAUAGCAGGUUUUUCUCUGUAUUUGAAAAAAAUAACCAAGAAGUAGAAGAUAAGGAUCCAGGAAUAUGUGUCCUCUGUCUUUGAGCUCUUUGCUCUCCUAUUUUUAAGGCUGUCUGGGUUCGGGGAGAUGGAGGGUCUGGAAUGCUUUCUAAUGACAACAUGUCAGCUGGGUGUUGUUCUGGCUCUCCCAUGAUUUCCCAACUUUCCCCCUCAUCUGCCUCUGAGCUGCGACCUCCCGCAAACCACAGUUGUAAUCUAUACUGUCUUCCUCUUCCUCCUCCACGGAAGGGUCAGGAUGGGAACGUGAUCUCCACCACUCCUCCUCCUCUGCCCAGCUCCUGACACCAUGAUACUUACAGGUGAAUUCAAUGUUGCCGGGAAAUGUGCUAGUUAGUGUUGUGAAAUGUAGCCAAUGCCAGGCAUGUAUUCAUCUCAGCAGCACCGUCACUUUGUGCUUAGAAUUUACCAGGCGGCUUUCCUGCCAGCCUGCGUAGCAUCAACCAUGUAGCUAUUUGAGAUUACCUAAAUAAUCCAAUUUGUAGGAAAGCAGCUAAAGGGGGAACAGUACAAAUCCUGUCUUCGUCUCAAGAAUGGAGUGUCAGUAGAAAGAAAAUCUAUUAAUUCUCCUGCAAAGGUGAAACAGCACAGAUAAGAAAGACUGGAGCCACAAAAGCUUUGGUUCUGGACUAUAGCUAUGAACAACUCAUUGCCUCAGGCUAGUCCAUAUCUGAGCAAACAUGUCCCGAGGUACCAAUACGUUUCCUCAAAGGACAUGUUUCAUCCUGGCUACUUGUACUUUUCCCCCUUCUCCUCUCCCCCUCACGCAUUCAUGUUUGGACAUGGCCAAACGGUAAUUUGAGUUUGCAUUACCUCUACCUGGAAGCGAAGAUUUUUGCCGGGGAAGGUCUUCCAUCUUGCUGACAAGCUCUUCUCAGACACAAGAAGUGUCGAGCCAUCUCAAGCUGCCAAGUGCCAGCCCCUAAGGCAAUAUUGACAUUGAAAGGGAAUGGCAAAGAGUUGCGAUUUGUUUUCCUGUGACACACCACUGAGGAAUGAGGGUCACUUUCAAAAAUGUGUAGGCGUGCCGCCGAAAAAUACAGUGAGAGGAAUUUCAGCUAAUAUAUUGGAGCAAGUAAAAAUAUCUCUACCAAUAGGUCAGUGAUAUUUAAUUAAAUGGUCAUUUCCUGCAGCAUGUCCUGGAUGUCCUUCAGUGCAUUGUCCAAGAACUGUACUUGCUUCCAGACCUAUGAAACAACAUGAAGCAAUGAGAUUCGAGCAUCUCCUCACUUGGUAUUCAUUUAUCAUUUGCUUCACAGUAGUAAGACAAGAGGAGAGUUCUCCAAAUAAGAAUAGUAGGAAAAACGAAACACAGACAUGCAUUGGAAUAGAUGCAGAGUGCGGUGAGUACUGGAUGAAUUAAUACAACACCAGACCUAACAUAUUUUGAGCCAACUGGCAUAAAAAAAAAUUAGUUUAUUCACAUGCAUCAUGAAUUGCUACAGCCCACACUGCUGGAAGGAAGCAAACCAGCGACCCAAAUCUCCUCUCUGGUCCUCACUGCUGUCCCCAAGUGGUUUAUACAUAGGUAUUUCCUGGCUUUCAUUAAACAGCCCUUUAAUUUCUGGAACUGACUGACUUUGCCCACUCACUGUACAGUGCUGUGUGGUAACACAAUUAGGCACAGGGUAAAACACAAGGCAUCAUACCAAAGUUAACCCAGAAGAAAAUUAACUUUCACUGAAGGUUUUUGAAAGGCAGCAAUUUGAGCAGGGGCAGAUUUCAGAAUAGCUUUAACAAUUAAACAUAAGAGCAGUAAAGACACAUCGAUAUAUACCUAAAUCUAGACUUUCUCUCUACUUAAAGCAGUUUCAGCUCAUCCUAAUCCCUUGGCCAGCUGAGCAUCUUUUGUCUCUGGCACAUGAGUCCUCUGCAGCUUUCUAGACUGAUGUCAUUUUCCUGGUUUUUAGCUCUUUCUCCAUCAUUAUUCCAACUCUCCUCCUAGUCACUAAUUAGAUUUACCUAUGCAGGUAAUUUCACUCCCCUCCCACCUCUUGGCCAAUCAGAAAUGAAGCUGAGUUUUGUUUUCCAUAAUAUUAUGCAAGCAAAUAUCUCCCUUGGCUUUCCCCCCUAUUUACCACAAUAUUUUAAGGUUUCAAUUAGCACUAUUUUAGCAUAGAUCUGGUAGGUCACCUUCAACGGGGGGUGGGGUGGGAAUCCCAUGGGCAAGCAGAAACCACUGAGGAAACUCUGUGUCUAAUAAGAGCAAUUAUUAUCUCAGAAACUGGUGGAAACCAAGGAAGGACAUCAUCUUCUGAUUGCAGUUCCUGUUGGAAAAUUUUAUUCCACCUUUAGCUGCAGACAUGGAACUGUUGCAUGUCACAUGCCUGUUUACAUACCAGCACAGCUUGCUGGGAACUUCUGUUGUGUGAAUAGCUUUUGCUUUUCUCUGUCUCUCUGAGAAGACAAAGAAAGAGACAACAUGUUUCUUUGUCCUGGUUUAUGAUUAAUAAAUCUGUAGUUGUAGUAUGCUUCCACAAGCCUCAUGCCUAUUCUGUGUGUGCAGUUCACUCGGCUGAUAUAGUGUGCCCUGGCUUUGAAGCCCGGGUCGCUGAUUUACGUUGGAGCAGAGGCCAAUGGGUCUUUGCAGCGGGACGGCUGGAAGGAGACGACUCAGCUGGGGCUAGCCAGCUGGCCUUGUGACCCUCUGCAUGCUGACAGUUCCUUGGGAGCUCAUGUGAAAUCCUGGCUCAUUAAAAAUCCUGGUUCCAAGCUACAUGCAGCUUUAAAAUUAAGAUGAGCACUUUAAUUCCAGCCCAUAAACUGUUUAUGGUGGCCUGAGGUACAAACAAAUGAUGUUAUUCAUGCAAUUAGCAAGUGCAUGCUUAUUCUAUUUUUAUUUUUAAAAGUAAAUGCUGAGGUGAUCCCCUUCCCUUCAUGCCUGACUCCAAUCCAGAUUCCUGCCCUACCCUAUGCCUGUGGUGACUUAAAGUACACCAACACAAGUGUUAAUUAAUAAAUAAUAAUAAUAAUAGCUUGAGAAACAUCAUGUAGCCUUGAAACCAUACCCUUGCAGGUGAGCUGCACAUUCAGGAAACAUCCGCUGCAAUUAAGGAACAUGAAUGCUUUGGAGGUAGUUAUUUUCUGGGACAGAUCCCAGCCUCCAAGCUGGCAACACUUAGGUAAAGGCACAUUCUUAAUAAGCCUCUUCACAGUAAUCUUGAUAGACCUCUUCACAGCCAAAUGCACAACAGGGUUUUGUAUACAUUGGCCUUUGUCUUUCCAAGAUAUAAAUAAAAACUAUAUCCUAUGUACUCCUAGCAGAAGGUAGCUCAAACAAGCGAGCCAUCCUAAAUAAGAAUGAUGCCUAAAACAGAAAGCAAUGCAGUUCAUGUGCGUAUUUUCAAUGAGCAUUUCUUUUAAUUCUACAGAAAAUGAAUCAAAUUCAUUGCUUCACAGGCAAUAAGUUUUUUAUAUUUAAAAUGAUAUAUUCUCCACAAGAACUGAAGUAGCCAUCCUCUUUUUUUUUAAAAUGAUAUUUAUUAAAGUUUCAAAAAAAGAUUACAUUGAUUAGAAAAAGAAAACUAGAGAAAAGAAAAAUACAAAAUACAAAAAAAAAACAAUUAAAAACAAUUCCAUCUUUUCAUCACUUAUCUUUCAUUUACUUGUUUCCUGGACCUCCUCAUGCCUCCCUUUUUUGUAUUCCAGUUCAAUUUAUUAGUUCAGCAAUUCCUUUCCCUCCUUAUUUUAGCCUAAUCUUUAAUCUUAAUAUAUUAUAGCAUUAAGUUUUGACCUAUUGAAAAUCCAAUUUUUCCAUAUUCUUUUACCAUUACAGCUAGAAAGCACUUAACUUCAAUCCAACAUCAUUCUAACAUUCAUUAAUUUUGCAAUAUUUCUGUAAAUAGUCUUUAAAUUUCUUCCAAUCUUCUUCCACCGACUCUUCUCCCUGGUCUCGGAUUCUGCCAGUCAUUUCCGCCAAUUCCAUGUAGUCCAUCAUUUUCAUCUGCCAUUCUUCCAGUGUGGGUAGGUCUUGUGUCUUCCAAUGCUUUGCAAUAAGUAUUCUUGCUGCUGUUGUAGCAUACAUAAAGAAAGUUCUGUCCUUCUUUAACACCGAUUGGCCGACUAUGCCCAGGAGAAAGGCCUCUGGUUUCUUUAAGAAGGUAUAUUUAAAUACCUUUUUAAUUCAUUAUAAAUCAUCUCCCAGAAAACCUUAAUCCUUGGGCACGUCCACCAAAGGUGAAAGAAUGUACCUUCAGUUUCUUUACAUUUCCAACAUUUGUUAUCGGGCAAAUGGUAGAUUUUUGCAAGCUUGACUGGGGUUAUGUACCACCUGUAUAUCAUUUUCAUAAUAUUCUCUCUUAAGGCAUUACACGCCGUAAACUUCAUACCUGUGGUCCACAACUGUUCCCAGUCAGCCAUCAUUAUGUUGUGUCCAACGUCUUGUGCCCAUUUAAUCAUAGCAGAUUUCACCGUUUCAUCCUGAGUAUUCCAUUUCAGCAGCAAGUUAUACAUCUUUGACACAAUCUUAGUUUUGGGUUCUAACAAUUCUGUUUCUAGUUUUGAUUUUUCCACCUGGAAGCCGAUUUGAAGUAGCCAUCCUCUUAAUUGCUUCUCCAACUUCACAGUAACUAACAGAGAGAUUUUUUUAAAAAAAACUGAAAACAAAAAUGUGAAAAAAACUUUUCAAAGAUAAAAUUUCAAAGUGAAAGUAUACGAAAGAAAGAGGAAAAAAUAUUAUCCUUAUAUAGAACAACUGUGACUAAGAUUUUAUAGGGGGGCAGGCGGUUAAGUGUGAUUUCUUUCUUGCGUCUUCAAGGCUGCUAAGAAAAUAAGAAGGUCCAUCUAGGCCAAGAGUCUAAUCCAGCAUUUUAAUUCAUUUUUAGAUCUGUUGUACUGAGUCUCCUGUCGAUAUGACUGUAAUUAAGUGGUAUGCCAAAUUGUUAAAAUAAAAACAAAUCCAGUAGCCUGCUAGAAGCUUCUGGAAAUCUAAAGAAGCAAUACUCCUCUCUGUUGUUUGCCACCACUUAAAUAAUAGAUAUUCGGAGGCAUUUGUCCUGAGCCUGGAGGUAACGGAUAUAAAACAUAAAAGGUUUAACACUACUUGUGUUUGGGUUAGGAAAGAUAUUGCUAUACUGAUGCACUAAUCCAGUAGAUACGUCUCUUCGUUUGACUUUCUAAUUAGAUAGCUCUUUGGCUGCAUCACUAAGGCUAACAUCAUGAUGCUGUUUAGUAGAGGAAUUUCAGCAAGGCUAAUCACAGCCCAUGGGAUGAAGAUUUUAGUAACUCUGUUUUUCACACAUCUAAAGCAUCGCGUGGAGCAAUUUAAUGCACCAGAAUAACAUAGGACCCUGUCAUCGCCUAAUGCUUCAGUUCUUUUAUGUUGGCAACAUUAUGAAACGGCUACUUUUCUUCCUCUUCUGUUAAUUGGUUUUAAAGGCAAAAAAUAUAUACAAAUAAAAUCCUCUUCAAAAUGCAGAGAAAUAUGCCAGCCCUCUAGGUUUGAUAAAGUAUGUGAGCAGUGCAGGGAAAGUAGCAGGAAGCUAUAUAAACAAGAGGCAAAGCUUUGAUAAUUAUUGGAUGAAGUAAAGAUUAAAGUGUCACUAAUAACUCAAGAUGCCAGGAAAGCUCAAUGAGCUUGGACUUGAAUGUCAGCUUUGGGGACUUUUAAAGCUCACCUCAAAGAAAAGAAUAUUUUAAAAUCUGAACUGGAUAAGGAUUCCUAGCUUCUUCCUCCACUUGCUCCUAACACAUGCCUUGGGGAGUAUUUCCUGCUGAUAAAUUUUGUAGGUCCCCGGAUUCGAAGCAGAGAAUUAUGAUCCAUUAGCAUAUGUCAUUGCUAACAAAAGAGAGGUCUUGUGGCAUCAUUCCGGUGUGGAAGUGAGUGUUCUCCCCUUCUCCAAGGCUUUUGGCGAGUUAGUGUGACUGGUAUGCAGGGUGCACAAUGCAUUUUUACUCAGGACCAGCCUGAAGGGACAGAACUUGAUGUUAAAAUGUGGCCAAACUUCCCACAGGGGAAUGAACAUUUUGAACUCUCUUCCCUUAACAUCACAUAGAGUAGUAUCCACAAGGCUACUUGCAGGGAGAAAUUCUGAAUACCGUAUUUUUCGCUCUAUAAGACACACCUAGUUUUCGAAGGAGGAAAACAAGAAAAAAAAUAUUCUGAAUCUCAGAAGCCAGAACAGCAAGAGGGAUCGCUGCGCAGUGAAAGCAGCAAUCCCUCUUGCUGUUCUGGCUUCUGUGAUAGCUGCGCAGCCUGCAUUCGCUCCAUAAGACACACACACAUUUCCCCUUACUUUUUAGGAGGGAAAAAGUGAGUCUUAUAGAGCAAAAAACCCGGUAUAUCUAGUGAUAGACAAUGUCCCCCUGAUAUCCAAAUCAUUCUCAGAAGUCAUUGCUGAAAUACUGGGGAAGAUGGAAGGGAAUUUAGUUAGCACUUCCUUGUUUUCUAGGCAGCUCUAGCUCUUUCCUCAAGUGAUUUGACAAAUAUGCUACCAGUAAGUUUAUGGCAGGGUGAGGUGGUGGUGGUGGAACAUGUAUAAAUGUUUUUCUAUUAAAAGAUGGUUCCAGAACAUUCCCACAGGGAACAAAACCACUGUGGCUUUCAUUCAUCGAAGUGUUCCUCUGCCAUUUGUCCAUUCAGAAGGAGCAUUCUUCCAAAGUCUAGUUUCACUGGGUGUCUAACAAGGCAAAGCUAAAUGGAAGUUUUCACCUGAGCAAAUCCCUCCAAAGACAACAGGAAAUUAGGGGAACUAAUGAAGCCUUCAAGUAAUAAUUGGAAAACAUUUGCUUUGAAUUAGGCAUCCCUCUAAGUAUAAAAAGUGCCAAAUCAUUAGCAUCAACUAUGAAAUGAGAGUUGAAUUUUAUUAACUCCCAAGGAAGAGAGACUUUUAAUGUUUCGGUUUUGGGAUAUGAUUCUUUAGCUCUGAAAAUCUGCCUUGAAUCAUAAAGCCUGAGCAGUUUAACACAAUGCAAUUGCUACAUAUCAUAGUUACAAGACACAUUGUAAGAGCUUUCCCGAACACUAGUGCUCUCCAGAUGUUGUUCGCAUAAUCAACACUGGUUGGUGCUGAUGAGGGUUGGAGUCCGACAACAUAUGGAAGGCACCAGGUUCAUGAAGGCUGCAUUAUAGCUAGUAUAGAAAAAGUAAGUUAUGUAGCUGGGCUAUAGGAGCAUAUGGACCAGUGUGGCGUACUCUGCCUGGCAGUGCCUCUCCAGAAACUCAGGCCAGGUUCUAUAACAACUCUGCUAACCCAAGUGAGAGCUGGACCAUAAAGAAGGCUGAUCGCCGAAGAAUUGAUGCUUUUGAAUUAUGGUGCUGGAGGAGACUCUUGAGAGUCCCAUGGACUGCAAGAAGAUCAAACCUCUCCAUUCUUAAGGAAAUCAGCCCUGAGUGCUCACUGGAAGGACAGAUCCUGAAGCUGAGGCUCCAGUACUUUGGCCACCUCAUGAGAAGAGAAGACUCCUGGAAAAGACCCUGAUGUUGGGAAAGAUGGAGGGCACAAGGAGAAGGGGAUGACAGAGGACGAGAUGGUUGGAUAGUGUUCUCGAAGCUACCAGCAUGAGUUUGACCAAACUGCGGGAGGCAGUGGAAGACAGAAGUGCCUGGGAUGCUCUAGUCCUUGGGGUCACAAAGAAUUGGACACGACUAAACGACUAAACAACAACAAUCCAAGAUGCUAAGGAUUGAACAUGCUGCCCUGCUUAUAUAUACCUGUUCGAUCACUGAGCUAUAGGCCCUACCUACAAAAGAUGGUUUGGGAUGCUGUAAGGUCACCUUUACAACCCACCUCACCACACACCAUUGCUAACUAGGUAUCCUGUGCCUUGUUUUCCUUUUCAAAACUUUCCAUACAUCUCCCUUGCAACUGCUUCAGCUUCAUCAAAAUGGCUACAAAAGAGACAUUGCACAUUCUUGGGUAAUUCAUGAAAACCUUUAAUAAACAUUUUUUAAAAACCUGCUGCAUGUAAUUUUCUUAUGAUUAGCUCAAUCAGGGUAUAUCCAGUUUGGGUCUCCAGCUGAUUUUUUGGACUACAACUCCCAUCACCCCUAGCUAGCAGGACCAGUGGUCAGUGUGAUGGGAACUGUAGUCCAAAAACAGCUGAAGACCCAAGUUGGGGAAACCCUGAGCUGAAUGAACAUUAAUGGGAGUGAGUCCCAACCAAAUAUAAAUGCUUACCAUGGAAUUUGCACUCAACACGUGCCACACAAUGUCCAUUCUGCAUUUGAAAUUAGACAUUCCUUUAGAGUGGCAGCACCUGUACUGUGUAACUCCUUGCCUAUGGAUAUUAGGCUUUCGAGGUCUGCUGAAAAUGUUUCGGUUUUGGCAGGCUUAUUCUGACACAUGAUUUGGUGGCAUCUGUUCUCAAAUUUCUUUCAGGUAUUUUACUGCUUUUAGAUGUUUUUGACAUUUCUUAAAUGUUUUAAAUGCGUUUUUAUUUUUAUUUGUCUUUGUAUUGCAGAUGUGUUUGGAGCAUUGAGCGCUUUGGGGAGGAAGAAUGGAAUUUAAAUGUAAUAAACAGAGCAAACAAGCAAGCAAUCAUAAAAAAAUAAUAAUAAUGGGAGAGGGAAUUAGUAUUACAACAUCAUGUUUUCCCCCAACCCAAUGCAUGGUCAUUAGAAUAUGUCUUCCUUUGGCCUAGGCCUCCAGACCCACACCAGCUUGCUCCUCCCAUUCAACUCUACAGGAGGCUCCCUCUUCAAAUAUUUCCACUUGACUCAGGAGCUAGCUAUACAUACAGAUCAGGAAGUGGUGUAAACAUGAAAUUAGCCACAAUCCGUAUGCACCCUGCACCUUAUGUUUUCAUGCAUUCUCCUGUUUCCCACCCCCAUGACCCCCUCAGCUUUGGUCGAAACUGAGAGAAAAAAGAGAAUUACCUGGCUCUGUUUCAAGCUGGUAAUAUGUAUGCACACAGGCAAAGUGUAGGAAAAUCCUCCUCAGGCUUCUUUAAAUAUAGUCAUCUUGUUAAGAAAAGGGUCGUUUAUAAAUGUUUUCAUUUUUUUUUAAAAAAGUAGGCACUUCCUGCCUUUAUUAUAACCUCUAAAGUAAGCAGCCAUCCUCCAACAGCACUCUUCCCCCUUUAACGUUCUUGUUACACCCAAGCGCACUUUUAUUUCCUUCCCCCUCAUCUUUCCAUGUUAAAUCCAUUCAUUACUCAAUCACUUCUGUGCUGCAAAUGGCUUCCACUCAUUACACACAAAGGAAGAAUCGUUUAUGAAUAGAUUGCCUCUCACUGUCAGAGGGCUUACCACAGCACUGGCCUCUUCAGCAAAAGUACAACAAUUGCCAGCAUUAUUAUUAUUAUUAUUAGGAUUAAGACUUGUUUGUUGUAGGGCAGUUAUUUUGCAAGGCAAGUGUGGCAACGGACUGUAAUUUUUUGAAGAAGUGGGAUUUUAAUUUUAUCCGCCCCCCCCCUUUAGUUCUAAGAAUUUAUUUUCUGUUAUUACUUUAAAAUAAAGUAAGAACACCAUAGACACUUUUUACUUAAACCCAAUUGAAAGAAUUGAUGGUGCUAAACCUUGGAAUCAGUGUGUGUGUGUGUGUGUGUGUGUUGUAAAUAAACUCCCUUCACUUUGGAGCAGCUAAAAUGUUGGUGAGUCGAGGCCCCGCUCCCUGCCUCAUGAUGAAAUAAGGCACAUGGACACAAGUAUUUUAGGUUAAUGGGCUAAAAAGGGCAACAACUUUAUUGGUUACAGAAUGUGAGAGGUAUUGGCUUAGGCAUUGGAUGAGAACAGACUAUACUUGACUCCUGCCCACUCUGCAGGGAGUCACACAAGGGUUAACAACUUGUAGGGGAAGAAGAAGAAGAAGAAGAGGA